GUUUCUUAAUUUAUGGACCUUUAGAAUUAAAGAGUCCAAAAUUUGUGCCCAAAUUCGGAUGGCCCAUUCCUCUUAGCCCAAAUCCUCAUAACCUAAAAAAUUCAAAAAAACCUUAAAAUAAAAGAGGCUCCUCUCUCAUUCUCACAGGAGUAGGGCACGAAAGAAAACAGAGAGAGCUAAGAAAGAUGGCAGCAACUGUUGCGCAUAGAUGGUAGUGACGCAGCUCUCGCUACAGCAUCCCGGUCAACGCCAUCCUUAGCUCUUCCACAUGUACCUCAUCCUUGUUAACAUCAUUAAACCAGAUGCAAAAUCUUCUAUAAGAACACCCCAAACAGUCACUAAAACCAUACACGAAAAUAGCCAUUGCCGAGGUCGGUUGCGGUGGUAUUCCGUUCCGAUCGAGUCGAGUUCACGGUUUGGAGGUUUUUCCGGUCGCGGUCCAGUUCGUUUUUCUUUUCAAGUUCCGUUAUCAAUUUUUGGAUUUUGAUUCCAUCUCACAGCUGCUUUGUUAGAGAUUUGAUUUGGAUAUUCUUCUUAAAUACAAAGGGGUUGCUGUUGGGUGUGGAUGGCAAACUUUUGUGGCCUACGUUAACGUGGGAUGUUACUACGUUGUUGGCAUUCCAUUGGGUAUUGUUCUCGGUUUUAACUUCAAGCUCGAAGCUAAGGGAAUAUGGUUGGGAUUGUUAGGAGGAACAGCUAUGCAGACCAUCAUCUUACUGUGGGUGACUUUUCGAACCAAUUGGGAGCAAGAGGUGGAAAAAGCAAAGAGCCGAUUAAAUAUGUGGCAAGACCAGAGUAAAAAGCCAUUGUUGAAUGAUUGAGAAGCAACAGCCGGAAAAUUAGCUAAUUCAAUUGGACCAAUGACAAUACGUCAUCCCAUAUUUCACUGUCUUAAUUUUCGUACUUUUCAUCUCUAGGCACAUUAACCGUUGGAAAAUUGUUAAAGAAAAUGGGGUAUGGGUAUAUUUUAGCCAUUCCACAU